rnacentral:rRNA from 1 species
CUACGUGCCAGCAGCCGCGGUAAUACGGAGGGUGCGAGCGUUAAUCGGAAUAACUGGGCGUAAAGGGCACGCAGGCGGUUAUUUAAGUGAGGUGUGAAAGCCCCGGGCUUAACCUGGGAAUUGCAUUUCAGACUGGGUAACUAGAGUACUUUAGGGAGGGGUAGAAUUCCACGUGUAGCGGUGAAAUGCGUAGAGAUGUGGAGGAAUACCGAAGGCGAAGGCAGCCCCUUGGGAAUGUACUGACGCUCAUGUGCGAAAGCGUGGGGAGCAAACAGGAUUAGAUACCCUGGUAGUCCACGCUGUAAACGCUGUCGAUUUGGGGAUUGGGCUUAAAGCUUGGUGCCCGUAGCUAACGUGAUAAAUCGACCGCCUGGGGAGUACGGCCGCAAGGUUAAAACUCAAAUGAAUUGACGGGGGCCCGCACAAGCGGUGGAGCAUGUGGUUUAAUCCGAUGCAACGCGAAGAACCUUACCUACUCUUGACAUCCAUGGAAUCCUGUAGAGAUACGGGAGUGC